rnacentral:rRNA from 1 species
AUUGAACGCUGGCGGCAUGCUUUACACAUGCAAGUCGAACGGCAGCGCGGGCUUCUGCCUGGCGGCGAGUGGCGAACGGGUGAGUAAUUCAUCGGAACGUGCCCAGUAUUUGGGGAUAGCCCGGCGAAAGCCGGAUUAAUACCGCAUACGACCUGAUGGUGAAAGCGGGGGUCCGAAGGUCCUCGCGCUUUUGGCUCUCCCGUUGUCGGAUUAGCUAGUUGGUUGGGUAACGGCUUACCAAGGCGACGAUCCGUAGCUGGUCUGAGAGGCCGACCAGCCACACUGGGACUGAGACACGGCCCAGACUCCUACGGGAGGCAGCAGUGGGGAAUUUUGGACAAUGGGGGCAACCCUGAUCCAGCCAUGCCGCGUGCGGGAAGAAGGCCUUCGGGUUGUAAACCGCUUUUGUUAGGGAAGAAAACCUCUGGGAUAAUACCCCGGGGGGAUGACGGUACCGGAAGAAUAAGCACCGGCUAACUACGUG